rnacentral:misc_RNA from 1 species
GAAAUGCGAUAACUAGUGUGAAUUGCAGAAUUCCGUGAAUCAUCGAGUCUUUGAACGCACAUUGCGCCCCCUGGUAUUCCCGGGGGCAUGCCUGUCCGAGCGUCAUUGCUGCCCAUCAAGCACGGCUUGUGUGUUGGGUCGUCGUCCCCUCUCCGGGGGGGACGGGCCCCAAAGGCAGCGGCGGCACCGCGUCCGAUCCUCGAGCGUAUGGGGCUUUGUCACCCGCUCUGUAGGCCCGGCCGGCGCUUGCCGAACGCAAAUCAAUCUUUUUCCAGGUUGACCUCGGAUCAGGUAGGGAUACCCGCUGAACUUAAGC